rnacentral:sRNA from 1 species
UCCGUAGGUGAACCUGCGGAAGGAUCAUUAAAAAAUUAAUGAAUGUCGGAGGGUGUUCGGGUUUUUUACCUGUCGCUCUCUGUGUAUUCAACCAACCCGCUCUUGUAUUUGGAUCAACCAAAAAUUAACAAAAUACUUAUCAUAAUAAAAAUAAACUUUCAACAACGGAUCUCUUGGCUCUCGCAUCGAUGAAGAACGCAGCGAAAUGCGAUAAGUAGUGUGAAUUGCAGAACUUUGUGAACCAUCGAAUCUUUGAACGCAUAUUGCGCCCUUUUCCGAAGGGCAUGUCUGUUUGAGGGCACCAUUUAACAAAUAAUGUGCGGGUUGCGUGUGUUCGCAUGCGUGACUGUGCACACGUUGAUGAGCUUUCCGGAAAACUCGAUUUUCUGGUGGCACGUAAUAAACAGCGUGGACUUUUUUCUUCGAUUCGAGUGUAGUAAAAUUCGACAUUUGGGUUGUGAAAAAGUACCGUGCACUGGGUGUGGCGAAUUCCCCUGCCCCAAUGCCACUACUACUUCAUAUUCAGGGCCUCAAAUCAGACAAGAGUACCCGCUGAACUUAAGCAUAUCAAUAAGCGGAGGAAAAGAAACUAACAAGGAUUCCCCUAGUAACGGCGAGUGAAGCGGGAACAGCUCAAAUUUUAAAUCUGACUGCUCUUGCAGUCCGAGUUGUAGUUUGAAGGAGUCUGUCGCCAGCGCGACGACGGCACAAGUCCUCUGGAACGGGGCAUCGUAGAGGGUGAGAAUCCCGUCUCUGGCCGUCAGUCGCCGGGCACCCGGCAGGCAUCCGAAGAGUCGAGUUGUUUGGGAUUGCAGCCCCAAAUGGGUGGUAAACUCCAUCUAAGGCUAAAUAUUGGCGAGAGACCGAUAGCGAACAAGUACCGUGAGGGAAAGAUGAAAAGAACUUUGAAAAGAGAGUAAAACAGUACGUGAAAUUGUUGAAAGGGAAACGCUUGAAGU